ensembl:processed_transcript
CUGCGCGCUUCCGGCACCCACAGUCGGGUUCCAGGUUCCACCGUGGCGCUCCUGAGCGCCGCGCUUCUCGGGCGCACCUCUUCUCUCUGCCCUCUGUCACCUCAUACCCGCCAGUCCCCUUAGGACUGAUGAACCAAGUACUUUCUGAUGGAGACCGAAUUGGUCGAUGAGGCAGAGCUCAGGGGUUACCUAGUUGGGGCCCAGGGUAAGGGAACAAAUGGAAAGAACGGUUCGUAAAUCUUUAAACAGCUCUUAGAGGUUAUUUGCAAGAAUAAUUCCUAAGCAUCGGAAGUGCUGGGACAUUCUUGUGUGGGACAAGUGUGCACCCAACAAACAUAUCUUUCAGAAAGUCGAAAUGAGAUAGAUGGGAGAGGGUAGUGAAUAUAAAAUAGCAAUGGCAGGUUGCAAUGAAGAUACCGGAGCUUAGUUAAGCAAAGCAGUCGUGUUAAGGAAGACUAGUACGGCAUUAUUACUCUUCGACAAGGUGCAUAGCUUUUCCCAUUGAUAAUGGGAAAUGGUUAUGUCUGUGCGUUAGUGCGCAAGCAUUAUGCUCAAGGAGGAGAAAAGAAAAGUUUUGCAUAAAAAGCCCAUGGAGUUUAGACUUCAACCGAAUUCUUCCCCGGAGUGUAUCAUCUUAGAAUAUAAAACACAGUCCUGGAUGACUGUAACCCCCAAAUUCAAGAAAAGGCAAAUUCAGAAAAUAGGUAAAUUCAAAAAAGUUUGUAGUCUCAUGCUAUUAAAUUUUUUCUGUGUGCUCAUAUAUUGCUCCCUUCCCCAAAGUUUACAACUAACCAGAUUUUCAAUGGCUCUAGCACCUACAGAAAGAACUACUGACAUACCCAAAAAGAGCUCUAACAUCAAAGGUAAUUUGUACUGGCUGAGUGCCCUGGCUUUGGAACACUGUGAUCUAGCGAUGUGCCCCUGGGCAUGGGUUCAUCACUGGAGAAAUGAAAGUUGGAAGAGAAGACAAGGAUGCUCACCCUCCAAGAGUGGUAAAGAUUAAGUUAAAAAAUACUAUAUCACAAAAAAAUAGGUGAUAUAAUAGUUGUCCCAGGCGGUCCUGACCACUUUUAUAAUAAAAGGAGGAGUGUCCAUCCGCGCACACCCUCUCAAAUACAUGCACAUACUGAACUUUGGGCUAAGUCAAGACAACGCCCUUUGUCGAAACAGGAAGCAGUUGUCUCCAAAUAGAAAGAGGGCUGCAGGGUCCUGAUCUCUGCAUCUUCCAACUCUACAGCAGGGCCUGGAGAGACAAAGGCGAAGCAAACUAGAAAGUGCUCACUCGGCCCUGGUCGCCGGAGGACACAGGUUCUAGACCUGAAUUUAUGACCGCAGACUUGCGGUGCUAACGCCUGAGGGUUCCCAGGGUCUCCUGCCCACUUUCACAGACCACCACAAGCUUAAGACCGAGAAUCACUUCCCAGCAUGGCCUGGGAUACUCAGUGGUGAACCCACGGCGACCUGCCCCGAGACCUGACAGCCUCAACACUCUGGGUAAAGGAAAUUAAAAACCCGGACAACUGGAGUCUUUGAGAAUGAAAACGACAUCGGGAUUCCAGACAGCUGACUCGCUCAGAGCUCCAACUGGGUGUACGCACGGCGGGUAAAGCCAACUCCUACAACGACACGUCACCGUUCUGGGCCGCUUCUUGGCUGGGGGGCGGGGCGACCCCUACUUCCGGAUCCGGCCUCUUCUGGGUAACGCCUCACCUGCGGUUCCCUAGGUUACCUGAUGGCAGGGCAGGGCGGGGCGGGGCGGGGCGGGGCGGGGCGGGGCGGGGCGAAGAGUUCCUACUCUAGGUAGCCAGCUCCGGGUUGGUGAGGCUCUUCCCAACUAGGUUAAAGGGAAAUCUCUGCGUUCUCACACAUAUGAUAACGCAACUUUUUUCAGACUACUGAUAACUCUGACUGGAGCAAAACCCGAGGAAUAUGAUUUUUUCCCUAUGUUCCACAUGGCAUUUGACAAUUCGGAGAAGCUGAGGAAAGAGAAGGGCUUUUUUGUUUGUUUUUUUCCACACAGAGUUUCUCUGUGUAGAGAAACCUGGCUGACCUGGAACUCACUCUGUGUAGACCAGGCUGGCCUCGAACUUAGAAAUCCACCUGCCUCUGCCUCCCAAGUGCUGGGUGCGCCACCACUGCCCAGCGAGAAGGGCUUCUUUGGUUUGGUUUGGUUUGGUUUGGUUUUUGGUUUUUUUUAUUAAUCGUGGGUAAGGAUAACGAAAACGGUCAGAUGAUCAAUGAACUAUUCAAUAUAUGCUGACCUUUAUACUCACAAUGGUUGAGAUGAUAAUUUUAUUAUGU